rnacentral:rRNA from 1 species
CCUACGGGAGGCAGCAGUGAGGAAUAUUGGUCAAUGGUCGAGAGUCUGAACCAGCCAAGUAGCGUGAAGGAUGACUGCCCUAUGGGUUGUAAACUUCUGUUAUAAAGGUAUAAAACGAGUCACGUGUGCCUUUUUGCAUGUACUUUAUGAAUGAGGACCGGCUAACUCCGUGCCAGCAGCCGCGGUAAUACGAAGGAUCCGAGCGUUAUCCGGAUUUAUUGGGUUUAAAGGGAGCGUAGAUGGGUUGUUAAGUCAGUUGUGAAAGGUUGCGUCUCAACCGUAAAAUUGCAAUUUGUACUGGCAGUCUUGAGUACAGUUGAGGUAGGCGGAAUUCGUGGUGUAGCGGUGAAAUGCUUAGAUAUCACGAAGAACCCCGAUUGCGAAGGCAGCUUACUAAACUGUGACUGACAUUGAUGCUCGAAAGUGUGGGUAUCAAACAGGAUUAGAUCCCCGAGUAGUC